AUUGCAGUUCGAACGGUAGAAGUUAGCAAUACUCGAGAAGUGGCGAACGGGUGAGUAAUAUAUCGGAACGUGCCCAGUCGUGGGGGAUAACGUAGAGAAAUUUACGCUAAUACCGCAUACGAUCUAAGGAUGAAAGCGGGGGAUUCGCAAGAACCUCGCGCGAUUGGAGCGGCUGAUAUCAGAUUAGGUUGUUGGUGAGGUAAAAGCUCACCAAGCCGACGAUCUGUAGCUGGUUUGAGAGAACGACCAGCCACACUGGGACUGAGACACGGCCCAGACUCCUACGGGAGGCAGCAGUGGGGAAUUUUGGACAAUGGGCGAAAGCCUGAUCCAGCAAUGCCGCGUGCAGGAAGAAGGCCUUCGGGUUGUAAACUGCUUUUGUACGGAACGAAAAGGCUCUUUCUAUUAUAGAGGGCCCAUGACGGUACCGUAAGAGUAAGCACCGGCUAACUACGUGUCCGCAGCCGCGGUAUUACGUAGGGUGCGAGCGUUUAUCUCAAUUACUGUGCGUGUAGCGUGCGCGCGCGCUUCUCUAUGACAGAUAUGUGAUCUCCCCGCUCUCACUGUGAAAAUGGCAUUUGAGACUGCACAGGUAGAGCACUUUAGAGGGUGGAUGUAAUUCCGGGUGU
rnacentral:rRNA from 1 species